rnacentral:rRNA from 1 species
GACGAACGCUGGCGGCGUGCCUAAUACAUGCAAGUUGAGCGCCGAAGGUUGGUACUUGUACUAACUCGGUGAGCAGCUAACGGGCGAGUAACGCGUGGGGAAUCUGCCUUUGUGCGGGGGACAACAUUUGGAAACGAAUGCUAAUACCGCAUAAAACCUUUAAACACAAGUUUUAAGUUUGAAAGAUGCCAUUGCAUCACUCAAAGAUGAUCCCGCGUUGUAUUAGCUAGCUGGUGAGGUAAAAGCUCACCAAGGCGGUGAUACAUAGCCGACCUGAGAGGGUGGUCGGCCAAAAUGGGAAAGAGACAAGGCCCAAAAUCCCAAGGGGGGGAGCAGUAGGGAAAUAUCGGCAAUGGACGGAAGGCUGACCGCACAAAGCCGCGUGAGUGGAAAAGGGUUUCGGAGCGUAAAAGUCUGUUGGUAGAGAAGAAAGUUGAUGAGAGUAGAAAGCUGAUCAAGUGACGGUAACUACCCAGAAAGGGACGGCUAACUACGUG